CAGAAGGUGGGACAACAGGAGUGGGAGGCGUCUGGGGGCGGGAUGGCAAACAAGGAGGUAACAAGGGAGGUACUAGAGACUGGGAUUGGGUUUGGUAACUGGACUGGCAUUGGGUUCUGGGGAGGGACCGGAUCUGGGGAGGAGAACGGCCGUGGCAAAGGGGCAUGGGGAAAGAGAUGCAAUGGCAAUGGAUAGUAAUAGGUACCAUCGGCUCCAAGCACGGGACACAAAGGGGUG